rnacentral:SRP_RNA from 2 species
GCCGGGCACGGUGGCUCAUGCCUGUAAUCCCAGCAAUUUGGGAGGCUGAGGCAGGUGGAUCACUUGAGGUCAGGAGUUCAAGACCAGCCUGGCCAACAUGGUGAAACCCUGUCUCUA